GAACGCACGCACGGAGAUUGCGCAGACCUCCUCGUCCGCGUUCUACGGAACUCAUUUCGAGCCAACAGGUUUUUAGGCCUGAAUAGCCGGUAGGAUGUAAGAGCAGCCCCACUUCCGGGGAAUAGCCGGUAGGAUGUAAGAGCAGCCCCACUUCCGGUAGCGCCGGAAGCAGCUGGAACAUGGCGGCCUCCUGCUUCCACGGGCUGGCGCCGGCGAACCGAGGACUGAGUUUCGUCCGCAGCUGCCGAAGCCGGAGAAGCGAGAUGAAUCAGAACUCCUCACUGUACCUGAUGGAAGGAACCGGCGUUUUCUAAAAAGGACAAUCCCAGAGGCCUCUUGGAGGAGAGCAGUUUUGCAACUUUGUUCCCAAAAUCUAGAGAGGCUUACUUGAAAGAGUGCUGGCCUUUGGUACAGAAGAGCCUUGAAUGAACAUCACAUUAAUGCAAUCCUGGACCUGAUCGAGGGCAAUAUGACUGUACGACAAAGAAGACUUUUGAUCCAUAUAUCAUCAUUAGGGCCAGAGACCUAAUUAAAACUUUUAGCAAGAAGUGUAUCAUUUGAACAGGUUAAAAAAGUAGUCCUAGAUACUAUGAAGAAUACUCAUCCAAUGUGUAACGUUAAAAUCAUGGUGAUAAAACAACAGAAAUGUUGGAUCAAGAGGUCUAUUCUGGAAAGGGAAGCAAAGAAAGGAACUGUUAGUUGGGGGAAGAUUGAUAAAGAAUUGGCUAGUGGUGAAUAUUUUCUGAAGGCAAGUCAAAAUAGAAGUGUCAGAAAAUGGAAGCCACAAAGGCUAAACAAGCAGAAGCUCUCAGUAAGAGACAAGAGGAAAGAAACAAAGCUUUUAUUCCACCUAAAGAGAAACCAGUGGUGAAACCAAAGGAAGCUUCUACUGAAAAUAAAAUUGAUGUGGCUGCCAUCAAGGAAAAGGUUAAGAAAGCAAAGAAUAAGAAACUGGGAGCUCUUUCAGGUGAAGAAGUUAAGCUUAAAAUGGAAGCAGAUGAAAAAAGAAAGAAGAAAAAGUAGCAUUAAAAAAAGUCCCUAAAUGAGAACUCAUGAAGCUAUAUCCUUUUGUAAAGUAUUUUGAAAUACUGGGGCGUCAACAGCCUAUGUGAUAAGGAAUACUCUGAUUACAUUUUCUGAGUUUGUGUCAUUCUUCAAAAUAGUGUUUAUAUAAACAACUGUUCUUUAUAAAUAAGAAUUAUUGUAUUCCCUGUGUGUUUUUUGAAAAAUGUAAGGCUAAGUGGUGUAUACAUCUUUGUAUACAUUGCACCUUAUCUGUUUUGGCAUGUUUUGCCUAAGCAUGAUUUUAGGUGUAAUUUUUAGGUAGUUUAUGUAAAGAUUUUUGGAAUGUGGUUAUUGUAAUUGUCCAUCAGUUCCAGUGUUUGAUGCCACUGGUUAGUCUUUAAAUAAAAUCAUGUCCCAUCAUUUGGAUUUCAGCAAAAUAAA